CAGCUGGGAAGUUUGCCCAUUAUACUCAGUGCUCGGCUUAAAGUUUGCAAAAUCUAGUUUCGCUUCUUUCUCCUCUUCUUCAUCUUCUUUUUAAAAAGCUUUGAACUUAUUGACCUCAGUAUUUUUGCUACAUCCAUUGCUAGGAUCAAAUCCUUAUUCUUUUCAAAAGCAUUCCUCUAACCUGAGGUCAAUACCAAUGUGAAAUAUGAGGAAGUUAUAAAAAGACUAAAAUCUAGAACAGCCAUCACCCUGGUGUACUUUAUCCAAAUUUUUAUAACUUUGAAGUGCAACUGGCGACAGAAAGAAGACAGGGUUUUAUGUUCCAGCCAGAGGAACCAACCACAAGAAAGAACGAAGCAGUAUCAUUUCUCAAUUCCAUGGCCAACAUCUCUAUCUCCCCCCACCAAAAAAAGUGGGGGAUCGGUCAAGCAGAGCCAACAAAAAUAAACUGUUGCCACCACUUACUUAGACAACAAUUCUGUGAGAUCUCUUUUUUUCCCUAAGGUGGGAAAAAUCAUUUUCUCAGUUUACUUUCUAGAAGAGAAAUUUGUACGAACAACCAACAAGUAAACCCAGCCCUGCACUUGGGGCUGUGGGCAAGUGGGACCACUCUAAGCAGCUCAUGGCUGGCAUAGUUUACUGUCUGGCAUUGUCUGUUCUUGUCUGAUUUCUGUAAGAUUCCCGAGGGCCAUGAAUGGUGUCCCAUCUGAAUGACCCAGAGUGGGAGGUUCCAGUUGCAUGGGUGGAGAUUGGCUCCUGGAAGACUGAUAUCUAAGCCCAGAGCUUUGACUCUGGGUGGGACAGUAAAUGGAUGAUUGUAUCCACACUGUUUGUUGUAUGGUCAUUAUGGUGGCAUAGUACAUCUCUUUGACAUUGGCUUUGAGCUUGGACUGUGUGCUGGUUCCAGCUGUAGACCUGGGGAAGCCUUGCAUGUUUCGGUUUGUUCUGCUAUUAUUCCAGCAAGAAAACCAUGUCACAUCAAAACUCACGAUGUCCAGGAAGAGGAGAAGCCCAUGGAGAAGAGCUGCCACACAGACCUGCAGUGGAACAAAACUGUUUCAACAACUCCAGCUGCCUCAGCAUGGAGCCCAGCCCAGCCCAGCCCAGUCCAGCCCAGCCCAGCCCAGCCGAGCCCAGCCCAGCCCAGCCCAGCCCCGGUCAGUCCACCUUCUGCAAACACAAGAUUACAUCAGCAAAAGCAAACACUGGCUGCAGGAAGUCCUGGAGUGGCUAUGCUGUUCUCCUUCAACCCAUAAGGGCUUGCAAGGGUUAUGGUUCUAUACGUCACUUGGGGAAGGACAUCUGCAGCGUCCGGUCUGAACAGCAUGUUUCUCUUUGGAAAUGCCUCUCUGCCAGCUCCUGGGACUAUGCCCAUGACCACCUGUCCUGCUGCCAUGACAGACCCAGGCAUUGGGGGUUGCACAUGCCUGCAUUUCUCUUCAAAGAACACAGUUAUCUGCAGAAGCUGAGGCUUCAUGCCUUUUAACCUGAAGGAGUUUGCUCAACACACCUAUCAGCGUCAAACCCAUCUUCAUCCAGACACAAAAUUAACUAUAGGAAAUCGUUCCCUGGGGUCAUUCACCAGUUUUGAAUAAAACAGACAAAACAACACCUGCCUUUGUCUGAGAAGCUACAGGCACUGCACUUGGUGAUAGAGGUUUGGCUGAGCAUGGGUCCCCUGAAGGAUGCCGUUGCAGCUGAACCUGGGCAUCUGCAACUCCACCUUUUAGAUGUUCAUGGAGACCAUGGUGGUUUGACCUCUUGUGAAGGCCAGGGUGUUGUAAUGAUUUCACUAGACCCAAGAUAAAUGAUAAAUGGCUGUUUAUUGGGGAACACUUACACAGAAAAAUACAAAACCAUGGGAGUGCUUCUCUGCCCUUCCUAUCUUUGAUCGGCUGACCCCAGAGAAAGUCCGGCUCAAGAGACCUCACCUUAGGCUUCUGUCUGCCUGAAGCCACGCCCAAAGGGUUGUGGCCACCAUUACAGGCAGGACUGCUACACUCUAGUCCUGCCCCUUGUGAGCACGAGACACAGGUGUGAGCUGAGGGGCACACCCUGAGUGCCUCCUCAAUCAGGAGCCACUCAGCUGUUCCGACAGCUGAUGACACAGCAAUGGAGAUGGGUUCCUUGUGAUCUCUGCAUGCUCUGCCUUCCAUUCCCACCUUCUCCACUUGGUUGGAGGUCCCAGCUUGAUCAACCUUGUCUGGUCACCAUCACCAUCCCCUUUGAUGAAAAGGGACUCGUACUUGUCCCCUCCCUCAAUCAGUGUCUCAAACGGAACCCUCAAAGUGAAGGUGCUUGGGGGUAAGAUGAGGUACACAAGAGGCUCUCAUCUUUGCCCCCAAUAGCUUCUCUUUCGCACAGUAGUCACGUCAUGAUUUUGAGAAAAAGAACAGCAGGUUAUUCUUUAUGAUGCUUAGAAAAUCUAAACCUAGGAAGUCUGGUGAAGUUGAGAUAACUAUUACAAUGACAUUGUGAGGGGCAGAGGUAAUUGUUUGUGGUUGGUUAACAGAAUUUCACAUGUAUUUAUUCAUAGAUAGCCAUAGCCACCAAAAGUUAAAUGUUUGAAUGUAAAUAUAAGUCAGAACGAUUAAAGGUAGAUUCUGCCAAUUUCUCGGGGCUUUGAAAACAGGCUGCAUCUUCCAGGGAAAGGGGGCCACUCUGGGCCCAAUGUGAGAACCUGCUCUUCCCCUAGGGGAGCUAGGAGGUACCAAGCCUCCUGGGAUUUGCCUGGGAGGCAUGGAGGAUAUAUUUGGGGAUUGCUGGAGCUUGGAGCCUGCAGAUACUCGGGCACCUGUGCCUGAGUGUUACAAAGGAGCAAUUGCUGCAAGCCAGACCAGGAUGAAUUGCUCCAAAAGCAUCCAAUUAACCACAACCAUGAGUCCAGGUGAGGGAGGAGGCGGAUGUCAGUGGAGCAAACACUCUGCCCCCAUCCAAGGGAACUGGGUUGGCCUCCUGUCCAUACUGAUCCAUGGACUGUGGCUACACACCUAUCACAUGCUACUACCCACUCUGACAAAUAUGAGGAUGGCUAGGAUGAUCACUGGAGGUAGAAAUAAGCCAUGUCCCGAUGCCGGAAAUGAAGCUGUGAGGAGAGUGUGCGGUCGGGGAACCAGGCUGCAGAUCCAGCAGGGAGGCACUGUCAGGGCACACCGUGGCCAGGCAGCAGGUUGUUUCAACAUUGUUUCUCAGAGGUUAUUAAUAAGGGCUACACUGGGG
rnacentral:lncRNA from 1 species